GUGGGUCAUUCAGAUGGUUUUGGAAUGGCAGGUUGUGGUCUCUCACCUUUUCUGCAUUCAAAGGGAUUAGGUCUUUUCUGAGAGAAGGGGCCUGCCUUGAAAAUAGUAUUAUAGAACCAGAAUUUUGCCAUCAAAUAGGGCCUUGCAGGUCAGAGUCUAAGGAUCUUCUCCAGUGCAGAAGUUAACUCUGGUGUAUUCUGGAUGUAAGGGCAGGGAUCCCCCUCCAACACUACAACUCGAUGGAAUUAUUUUAUUUGAUGCAAAGCCUUUCCUUGGGGUGGCCCCAGGCAACUCUCACCUUAUAGCUGUAAGAGACCAGCUCCAUCAGGAUGUUCCAAGGGGAGUCAAGAACAUCUUCCAGGAGGGCUGAGAAGACGUUGUCCCACCCAUGAAAACCAAAUGAAGAAACUGACUCUCCAAGGAUUUGAUUGACCUGCUCAUCAUGACAAAGACUGGAAAGAAAGAGAAAGCCCCAUCCUUCUUUGAUGCAAGAACCUAGCAGUUGAACACAGUGCUAUGGGCAUUUCUGAUCUUCACUGAUCAGUAAUACAUGGCAGAGCUUCGGAAAUUCUAGAAGAAAGGAGCAAAGUAUUCUAGGGGCUGAAGUCUGACCAAGUGCCAAGAGACUACAGAGAUGAGGCUCUUUUUGUCUGGAAAGUCAAAUGUGUGUGAGAUAGGAGAAGUAAAGCCUGCGAAAACAUGGUAGAGAGGUAGACACGGACUAAUCCAAAAAUCUGAAAACUGGGAGAGGGACAACAGCCUCUAAAGCUUGAAAAAGGCAAUUUUAGGACAAAUGAAGUCUAGGACUUCUUUUCGCAGUGAGCAUUCAGUUAAUAGGACUCAUUAUUUUGAAAUGUG